rnacentral:rRNA from 1 species
UUAAGCGACUAAGCGUACACGGUGGAUGCCCUGGCAGUCAGAGGCGAUGAAGGACGUGCUAAUCUGCGAAAAGCGUCGGUAAGGUGAUAUGAACCGUUACAGCCGGCGAUGUCCGAAUGGGGAAACCCAGUGUGAUUCGUCACACUAUCGUUAACUGAAUACAUAGGUUAACGAGGCGAACCGGGGGAACUGAAACAUCUAAGUACCCCGAGGAAAAGAAAUCAACCGAGAUUCCCCCAGUAGCGGCGAGCGAACGGGGAGCAGCCCAGAGUCUGAAUCAGCUUGUGUGUUAGUGGAACGGUCUGGAAAGUCCGACGGUACAGGGUGAUAGUCCCGUACACCAAAAUGCACAGGUUGUGAACUCGAAGAGUAGGGCGGGACACGUGGUAUCCUGUCUGAAUAUGGGGGGACCAUCCUCCAAGGCUAAAUACUCCUGACUGACCGAUAGUGAACCAGUACCGUGAGGGAAAGGCGAAAAGAACCCCGGCGAGGGGAGUGAAAAAGAACCUGAAACCGUGUACGUACAAGCAGUGGGAGCACCUUCAGGUGUGACUGCGUACCUUUUGUAUAAUGGGUCAGCGACUUAUAUUCUGUAGCAAGGUUAACCGUAUAGGGGAGCCGCAGGGAAACCGAGUCUUAACUGGGCGUUAAGUUGCAGGGUAUAGACCCGAAACCCGGUGAUCUAGCCAUGGGCAGGUUGAAGGUUGGGUAACACUAACUGGAGGACCGAACCGACUAAUGUUGAAAAAUUAGCGGAUGACUUGUGGCUGGGGGUGAAAGGCCAAUCAAACCGGGAGAUAGCUGGUUCUCCCCGAAAGCUAUUUAGGUAGCGCCUCGUGAACUCAUCUUCGGGGGUAGAGCACUGUUUCGGCUAGGGGGUCAUCCCGACUUACCAACCCGAUGCAAACUACGAAUACCGAAGAAUGUUAUCACGGGAGACACACGGCGGGUGCUAACGUCCGUCGUGAAGAGGGAAACAACCCAGACCGCCAGCUAAGGUCCCAAAGUCAUGGUUAAGUGGGAAACGAUGUGGGAAGGCACAGACAGCCAGGAUGUUGGCUUAGAAGCAGCCAUCAUUUAAAGAAAGCGUAAUAGCUCACUGGUCGAGUCGGCCUGCGCGGAAGAUGUAACGGGGCUAAACCAUGCACCGAAGCUGCGGCAGCGACACUAUGUGUUGUUGGGUAGGGGAGCGUUCUGUAAGCCUGCGAAGGUGUGCUGUGAGGCAUGCUGGAGGUAUCAGAAGUGCGAAUGCUGACAUAAGUAACGAUAAAGCGGGUGAAAAGCCCGCUCGCCGGAAGACCAAGGGUUCCUGUCCAACGUUAAUCGGGGCAGGGUGAGUCGACCCCUAAGGCGAGGCCGAAAGGCGUAGUCGAUGGGAAACAGGUUAAUAUUCCUGUACUUGGUGUUACUGCGAAGGGGGGACGGAGAAGGCUAUGUUAGCCGGGCGACGGUUGUCCCGGUUUAAGCAUGUAGGCUGAUUGUCCAGGCAAAUCCGGAUAAUCAAGGCUGAGGUGUGAUGACGAGGCACUACGGUGCUGAAGUAACAAAUGCCCUGCUUCCAGGAAAAGCCUCUAAGCAUCAGGUAACAUUAAAUCGUACCCCAAACCGACACAGGUGGUCAGGUAGAGAAUACCAAGGCGCUUGAGAGAACUCGGGUGAAGGAACUAGGCAAAAUGGUGCCGUAACUUCGGGAGAAGGCACGCUGGUGUGUAGGUGAAGNUGGAGCUGAGACCAGUCGAAGAUACCAGCUGGCUGCAACUGUUUAUUAAAAACACAGCACUGUGCAAACACGAAAGUGGACGUAUACGGUGUGACGCCUGCCCGGUGCCGGAAGGUUAAUUGAUGGGGUUAUCCGUAAGGAGAAGCUCUUGAUCGAAGCCCCGGUAAACGGCGGCCGUAACUAUAACGGUCCUAAGGUAGCGAAAUUCCUUGUCGGGUAAGUUCCGACCUGCACGAAUGGCGUAAUGAUGGCCAGGCUGUCUCCACCCGAGACUCAGUGAAAUUGAACUCGCUGUGAAGAUGCAGUGUACCCGCGGCAAGACGGAAAGACCCCGUGAACCUUUACUAUAGCUUGACACUGAACAUUGAGCCUUGAUGUGUAGGAUAGGUGGGAGGCUUUGAAGCGUGGACGCCAGUCUGCGUGGAGCCAACCUUGAAAUACCACCCUUUAAUGUUUGAUGUUCUAACGUUGGCCCCUUACCGGGGUUGCGGACAGUGUCUGGUGGGUAGUUUGACUGGGGCGGUCUCCUCCCAAAGCGUAACGGAGGAGCACGAAGGUUAGCUAAUCCUGGUCGGACAUCAGGAGGUUAGUGCAAUGGCAUAAGCUAGCUUGACUGCGAGCGUGACGGCGCGAGCAGGUGCGAAAGCAGGUCAUAGUGAUCCGGUGGUUCUGAAUGGAAGGGCCAUCGCUCAACGGAUAAAAGGUACUCCGGGGAUAACAGGCUGAUACCGCCCAAGAGUUCAUAUCGACGGCGGUGUUUGGCACCUCGAUGUCGGCUCAUCACAUCCUGGGGCUGAAGUAGGUCCCAAGGGUAUGGCUGUUCGCCAUUUAAAGUGGUACGCGAGCUGGGUUUAGAACGUCGUGAGACAGUUCGGUCCCUAUCUGCCGUGGGCGCUGGAGAAUUGAGGGGGGCUGCUCCUAGUACGAGAGGACCGGAGUGGACGCAUCACUGGUGUUCGGGUUGUCAUGCCAAUGGCACUGCCCGGUAGCUAAAUGCGGAAGAGAUAAGUGCUGAAAGCAUCUAAGCACGAAACUUGCCCCGAGAUGAGUUCUCCCUGAGACUUUAAGUCUCCUGAAGGAACGUUNGACGUUGAUAGGCCGGGUGUGUAAGCGCAGCGAUGCGUUGAGCUAACCGGUACUAAUGAACCGUGAGGCUUAACCUU